UACGUAGGGACCAAGCGUUGUUCGGAUUUACUGGGCGUAAAGGGCGCGUAGGCGGCGCGGUAAGUCACUUGUGAAAUCUCUGAGCUUAACUCAGAACGGUCAAGUGAUACUGCUGUGCUAGAGUGCGGAAGGGGCAAUCGGAAUUCUCGGUGUAGCGGUGAAGUGCGUAGAUAUCGAGAGGAACACCUGAGGUGAAGACGGGUUGCUGGGCCGACACUGACGCUGAUGCGCGAAAGCCAGGGGAGCAAACGGG
rnacentral:rRNA from 1 species